GUGUGUGGACCUGUGACUCUACAUGAAUGACUCAAGUGAAGAAACACGAGUGAAACCACUAUUUCAAAGGAAAAAGAAGAGGAAGAGGGGACAUCUUGAACAUUCGCAGUGGAACUUGAGUGCGCAUCUGCGCAAAGUCUCUCCAAAGUCACUUGGUAACUUGCGCGCACCACUGCAGCUCCAUUCUCAAGCAGUUUUGGGGGUCACGGCGAGGAGAGACUGUCGUCCGGCAGAAUGGCGUCAGACGUGGGCCGCAGCACUUGAGGUCAGCCGUUCACUCAGCGCACAGUGUUUAUUCUGCCUUCAGGUCCUCCUGGGAAGUUCCUACUUAAGAUUUCGGAAGUCAUAAUUAUGAUGUGAAGUGAAUUUGCUUGAAAUAAUACGGAUGAGUUGAGCAUAUUUAUGUGUGUCUUUAACCCAGCUAAAAAGGGAACGUUCACAGAACUGUUAAUACAAUGUUCAUUAAGAGUUAUCUGGUCUUUUAUAAAUUUCCCAAAAUUUUAGCACAAAAUAUUAUUAUAAAUCUUUCAUGGAAUGUUUUGUUUAUUGGUUUUGGAAUGUUCAGAGAAUGUUUUGAUCAUGUUUGCAAAAUUAUCAAAUUAUAAAACACAUUAAAAAGCACAUUUUGAAAGCGUUGGAUGUUUUGAAUGUUCACACAGUGUUAUAACUUAAUGGGAACAUUAUCAAAACAUUCUUUGAACUUUUUUGUUUGCUGGGAACUUGAAAAGCAUUUUU
ensembl:lncRNA